AUUGAACGCUGGCGGCAGGCCUAACACAUGCAAGUCGAGCGAGCGGCGGACGGGUGAGUAAUGCCUGGGAAUUGCCCAGUCGAGGGGGAUAACAGUUGGAAACGACUGCUAAUACCGCAUACGAUUGGAUUGCCCAGGUGGGAUUAGCUAGUUGGUGAGGUAAUGGCUCACCAAGGCGCCGAUCCCUAGCUUGUCUGGGUGGAUGGGGGAGGUGGUGGGGUAAAGGCUCAACAAGGCGAGUAGUCAUAGGUGGGCGGGGAGGAUUAUCAGGCACAAUGGAACUGAGAAGAAUAAUGGAAAAAGGGGGAAAACCUGAUGCAGGCAAGCCGGGGGUGGGAAGAAGGCCUUCGGGGUGUAAAGCACUUGCAGCGAGGAGGAAAGGUUGAUGGCUAAUACGUAUCAACUGUGACGUAUCGCAGAAGAAGCACCGGCUAACUCCGUGCCAGCCGCCGCGGUAAUAC
rnacentral:rRNA from 1 species